GACGAACCGAGCGAACGUUGUUCGGAAUCACUGGGCUUAAAGGGCGCGUAGGCGGGCAUUCAAGUCUGUGGUGAAAUCCUCCAGCUCAACUGGAGAACUGCCAUGGAUACUGGGUGUCUCGAGGGUGGUAGGGGUAUGCGGAACUAUCGGUGGAGCGGUGAAAUGCGUUGAUAUCGAUAGGAACUCCGGUGGCGAAGGCGGCAUACUGGACCACAUCUGACGCUGAGGCGCGAAAGCCAGGGGAGCAAACAGG
rnacentral:rRNA from 1 species